AAUCAACGCUGGCGGCGUGCCUCAGACAUGCAAGUCGAACGAUUAAAGCUCUCUUCGGAGAGUGUAUAGAGUGGCGCACGGGUGAGUAACACGUAAGUAAUCUACCUUCGAGUGGGGAAUAACGUCCGGAACGGACGCUAAUACCGCAUAAUGCAGCGGCAUCGCAAGAUGACAGUUGUUAAAGAUUAUCGCUUGAAGAGGAGCUUGCGGCGGA
rnacentral:rRNA from 1 species